ACACACCAGAAGGCAUCAGACCCCAUUACAGAUGGUUAUGAGCCACCAUGUGGUUGCUGGGAAUGGAACUCAAGACCUCUGGAAGAGCAGUCGGUGCUCUUAACUGCUGAGCCAUCUCGCCAGCCCGUGUCAAGACCUUGUGAUCUAGAAUUGCCUAAAGAGUGCCUUUGACGAUGAGACCCUGAGGCUUCGGCAGCUGAAGCUGGACAAUCAGAGGGCACUGCUGGAGAAGAAGCAGAGAAAGAAGCGCCUUGAGCCACUCAUGGUACAGCCAAACCCAGAAGCCAGGCUGCGAAGGUUAAAGCCACGAGGCAGUGAGGAGCACACGCCUCUGGUGGACCCUCAGAUGCCUCGCAGCGACGUCAUCCUACACGGCAUCGACGGUCCAGCUGCUUUCCUUAAGCCAGAGGCUCAGGAUUUGGAAAGCAAGCCUCAGGUUCUCUCUGUGGGCUCCCCUGCCCCAGAAGAAGGCACGGAAGGGAGUGCAGAUGGGGAAAGCCCCGAGGAGACAGCCCCCAAGCCAGACCUUCAGGAGAUUCUCCAAAAACACGGCAUCUUGAGUAGUGUGAACUAUGACGAGGAGCCUGACAAGGAGGAAGAUGAGGGGGGAAACCUCAGCUCCCCGUCGGCUCGCUCAGAGGAGAGUGCUGCAGCCAGCCAGAAAGCAGCCUCGGAGACAGGAGCUUCCGGUGUGACAGCCCAGCAGGGUGACGCCCAGCUUGGAGAAGUGGAGAAUUUAGAGGACUUUGCGUAUAGCCCUGCCCCUCGGGGUGUCACGGUGAAGUGUAAAGUAACCAGGGAUAAGAAAGGCAUGGACCGUGGCCUCUUCCCCACCUACUAUAUGCACCUGGAACGGGAGGAGAACCGCAAGAUAUUUCUUCUAGCCGGUAGAAAGCGGAAAAAGAGCAAAACGUCCAACUACCUGGUCUCCACAGACCCGACAGAUUUGUCUCGUGAAGGGGAAAGUUACAUUGGCAAACUCAGAUCCAAUCUCAUGGGGACCAAGUUCACAGUGUAUGACCAUGGUGUCAACCCAGUCAAGGCCCAGGGUCUGGUGGAGAAGGCCCACACCCGCCAGGAGCUGGCUGCUAUCUGUUAUGUAAGUGCUCCCCUUGCCUCCCCUAGUGCUCCCCGCUGUGCCCUCCUGCAUGCCUGCCAGACCCCCAAGCCGGCUCUUCUCCAUCCUCCUUCCAUGUUUCCUUGACCCCCUUCUAGGGGCUGACAUCAUUUAGAUGACCACUUCAGUUACGAUCAACUCUGCAUUAGCCUUCCUUUACUGAUGCUUAAAUUUACGCUUUGGUCAGAGGCUACAGUAAAACAUAAAUUAAGAUUAAAACCAGCUCUUUGCAUUUAAUCUUUCCCUCCUUCCCUCCACUCUUUCCUCUUUCUUCCUUUUUUUUUUUUUUUUUUUUUUUUUUGGUUGUUGUUGUUUUUGUUUUGUUGUUUUCUUUCUAGGCAGGGUCUCCUUGUCUGCCCUAGCCUUCUGCAUAUUCCAGGCUGGCCUCAAACUCUCAACCUUCCUGCUUCAACCUGCUGAGUUCUGGGAUUAAAGGAAACAAAUGUCCUCGGUUUCAAAGGUCCCAGGAAAAUGUCUGUGAUCAUCCCGGGGAUGAACAUGAACCAUGAGCGCAUCCCUUUCAGGCCACGAAAUGAACACGAGAGCUUGCUUUCAAAAUGGCAAAACAAAUCCAUGGAGAACCUGAUCGAGCUGCACAACAAGGCCCCGGUGUGGAAUGACGACACCCAGUCCUACGUGCUGAACUUUCACGGCAGAGUCACCCAGGCAUCCGUGAAAAACUUCCAGAUCGUCCACGGGAAUGACCCUGACUACAUCGUCAUGCAGUUUGGACGCGUGGCUGAUGACGUGUUCACACUGGACUAUAACUACCCACUGUGCGCACUUCAAGCCUUCGCCAUCGGGCUGUCCAGCUUUGACAGCAAGCUGGCGUGUGAAUGAGAAGCAGCAAGCAGGGGAUUUCUUCACCACAGAGCCUUCAAGAGCAGAAAGCUGCUGCCUCUGCCCCUGCCCCUGCCCCUGCCCCUGCCCCUGCCCCUGCCCCUGCCCCUGCCCCUGCCCCUGCCCCUGCCCCUGCCCCUGCCCUAGCACAAGAAGAGCAACAUUCUGCCCCUCUGGUGAAUGAUCCAGUGUGUGUGUGUGUGUGAAUGUGCAUGUGUGUGUUUGUUUAUACAUGCAUACACAUUCACACAUGGAUGCAUGCUUCCACGUACUCGUUCAUGCCUUCUCUGAACUUCAGAGACCUGGUCAUAGAUUACAACUUCUCAUGUGUGAGAGAUGGCUUAAAGCACAGGGAAGUAGACACCCAGGCACACUGGUGUCUCCUGAUCGCACAACAGACUCUGUGUGGUGAGUGUAGCUUUCAUGUGCUCGGGCACUUCCAACAGAAUCAGGUUCUAAUGAUUUAAUACUUGGGCCUCCUGUUUUGAAGGCCCUUUCAAAAGGGGGCUUUUCCCUUGGAUGCCUUUAGCCCAGGAGCCUGCAGCCUUCCUCAGCCAAUGGUCUGAUAGUGUCUCUUGCACUGACCCCAGUCAGGUCCUUUAGCACAAAACAGCCAUAACUAGUUGGUGCACAAAGAGUGUAGCUGUGUCCCAAUAAAACUUUAUUUACAAAGUGGGCAUUGGCCUAGUUUGGCCUGUGACUCUGGUUCGCAGGCCUGCCUUGGCUGUGUCCCUGUCCUCCAAGGCUGGAGCAUCUUCCAGGCUAGAUGUGGAGAGGCGGGGGGUGGUUUACUUUUCAGUAGCAGCAGACUGACAUUUUAUUUUUAUUUUUACUUUAUUUUUUUUUCCCAUGGAUCUCUGUGUAGCCCUGGCUAUCCUGGAACUUAUUCUGUAGACCAGGCUGGCCUCAGAGAUCCACCUGCCUCUGCCCCCCAAGUGCUGGAAUUAAAGGCUUACACUACUGUGCCUGGCCAUAGACAGACUCUUAAGAGGAAUUCUUGCCGAAUCUACUCUUGGUAGCUUUUGCCUCAUGGAGAUUAUGGCUGCAGAGUGUCAUAUAUCAUCUUGGGACAUGUGACACUAGUUUGUUCGUGGGUCUGAAAGGCUCUGCUGUCCCCAGCCUGCCUCUUGCUUAUUCUCAGAGUAGGUUGGUGGGCAGCCAUCUCAGAAGCAUGACUGUGGCCAGAUCUUCGGAAUCUUUGCUCUCUGGAAUCUUAAUCUAGUGUCUCCUUAGAGGCAGCAAGAGUCUUGGUGAGGAGGUCACCUCGCCGACACUCCACAGGCUUUGCCUGUCAGCUUUGUCCUCCAGCCUCGAAACCUGGCCCACACCAGUGGAGACACUGCCCUGCAUGCUGAGUCUUUGAGAUCUUGAACAUCUCGAACAUCUCCCAGCGAAUCAUGACAAAUUCCUCAAGGUCCCCAGCCUACAGUGUACCUGAACUUAAGAAUUCAAAAACUUUGGGUCUACAUUCAGUGGUCCCCCACUCUCAAACUGGCAACUGCUCCGUGGUUUUUCCUGUAUGGAGGAGGUCCCUGCAUCCCUGCAUCCUGUUGCUCCAUGCUCACAGCUGUGUGACGACUACAGCGUGAGAUCUGGGAGGUGAGACCUGUGCUAAGGCCAGUGUCUUGCCUGUCCCUUCAGAUGUCACUGUCUCUGCCUCUGGCAGGCGUCCCAUCAAGUGCCUUGUUCAUAAAUGUGCUCUGAAACCUGACACACCUCUGCUUUCCCAGACGAGCCACCUUUGUUGAGUGAAAACUGCUCUCUGUCUCCACUUGAAGGGGGUGGGGCUAUGACUUUCUGCCCAGCCUAGAGAGCUGUAUACUCCCAUUUCAUGGACUCUGCUUGAGUGUGCAGGUUUUACAUGAAUUCUAUUUAUACCUUUUGUAUGCCACAUAAAUAAAGAUAAUUUAUAUAAAGAUGUCGCUUUCCCAGAAUACCA